UCAGCUUGGUAAGGAUACCCCCUGAAUUUAAGCAUAUAAUUAAGGGGAGGAAAAGAAACUAACAAGGAUUCCUUUAGUAACGGCGAGUGAAACAGGAUGAGCUCACCUAUAAUCGGCAAUUUUUUGCCGAGUUGUGGUCUGUAGAAGCAUUGUCGGUCGAGGUUCCGGGCUAAGUCUCUUGGAAAAGAGCAGCUGAGAGGGUGACACUCCCGUUCUUGCCUGGGAUCUGCGAUCAUAGCACAUGCCUUCAACGAGUCGAGUUGCUUGGGAUUGCAGCUCAAAUGCGUGGUAUACUCCAUGUAAAGCUAAAUAUAGGUAGGAAACCGAUAGCGCACAAGUACUGUGAAGGAAAGAUGCAAAGAACUUUGAAAAGAGAGUUAAAGAGUACCUGAAAUUGCUGAAAGGGAAGCGAAGGAAACCAGUGCUUGGCUUGGUCAUAUUUCUCGAAUCGCUUGCGGUUUGGGCGCUGUGUCGUUGCCUUUGUCAUUUUUGCUUGUUCUCGGCGGAAACGUGUGUUCGGGAGGUAGCGCUUGCGUGAUACCGUUCACAUUAUUGCUGGGUUUGAGUGAGGCUGACGAAAUGGUUUUCUUUACCCCGUCUAGAAACACGGACCAAGGAGUCUAUU
rnacentral:rRNA from 1 species